CGAACAACCAUAAUUUACGUGCUCUCGACACAAUCUGAUGCAAAAAUUGCAAACUGGUUCCACUAUAAACCACAACGGCACCCGACAGUCCGGAACAGCCUGUACACUACUGUAAAAAUACACUCAGCAUCUCAACACGAGCGUAAAUGCAUUCUACACUAUUCUGGGUAUCCACUGCCCACAAACUGCGGUGAUACUAACAAAGUACGGCUCCGAGAGCUAAAUCUGGUAGUUUCAGAGAAUGACGGUGUAGAAUCGAUAGUUUUCUCCUAAGUCAAUUCUAAGUCCAACAUGCAUAAUUUAGCUAAUAUUCUAAGCUCCAAUUUAGAUUUAAAACCAUGCAAAUUAAAGAAUCGAGCUACUAAAUAUGCUAAACGAAGCUAAAGACAUGCUGU
rnacentral:lncRNA from 1 species